GGGAAAAACUUACGCUAAUACCGGCAUACGUCUACGGGAGAAAGUGGGGGACCGCAAGGCCUCACGCAGAUAGAUGAGCCGAUGUCGGAUUAGCUAGUUGGCGGGGUAAUGGCCCACCAAGGCGACGAUCCGUAGCUGGUCUGAGAGGAUGAUCAGCCACACUGGAACUGAGACACGGUCCAGACUCCUACGGGAGGCAGCAGUGGGGAAUAUUGGACAAUGGGCGCAAGCCUGAUCCAGCCAUGCCGCGUGGGUGAAGAAGGCCUUCGGGUUGUAAAGCCCUUUUGUCCGGAAAGAAAAGCUCGGGAUUAAUAAUCCCGGGUCAUGACGGUACCGGAAGAAUAAGCACCGGCUAACUUCGUGC
rnacentral:rRNA from 1 species